UUUUGAUUGUUCUCUUUCUAGUUAAAUAACAUACUAAAAUAUCAUCACUUGGUUUCCGUUUCCACCUGUAGACGCUUUGACAGAGCUGUGAAGAAGUGGCAGUGUUUCCACCAUGACAUGAAGAAUUUUAGUCAGUGGCUAACUGACACAGAACAGAAUUUGGCUAGAGCACAAACAGGUACCAGGGACCCAGAUCAAGCCAAAAUAAAGCAGUACCUCAAGAACUAUAUUGGAAAUCUGUAUGCCUCAAGUCAAUGUUGAAAGAAGAAAAAGUGCCAAAAGCUAAGAGCAAAUUGUGAGUGCCCUACUCUGUUGGUACAUUCAGUUUUCUUUGUUACAUUUGUGUAAUGAUUAUCUGAGCCCCUUCUCCUGCAGAUGAAAUGGGUACUUACGCAGUUGUAAAUUUCAUCUAUUAAGGUCAUAUUUGUAUCUCAUUAAGACAUGAGGUAUUCGCCAUUGUCUUUUCCCCCCAUCCCAUUCCUGGGGUCCCAGAGCCCAGGUUCCAGCCCAAGCCCAAACAUCUAUAUUGCAAUUUUAUAGCCCUGUAGCCUGAACCCCGCAAGCCCUAGCCAGCUUACACAGGCAGCCACAAGUGUUUUAUUGCAGUGUAGAAUACCUAAGUGUGAGUCAGUUGUUCUUAAUAAUUAGCUAUUCAUUUUUGCAAAGUGAAUUGUCUAAAAGUCAUCUGGGGGGGGAGGGUGGGUUAUAUGCCAAAUGUCAUUGUAAAGUGUUACAAAGUGUAAUAGCCAUAGCUCUGCAUGCUAUUGCCUGCCAUUUGUGCCUCUAUGUAAAAUUAUUGUUCUAGGCUGACAUACCAUUUCUUUCUUUACAAUGCCAUAUCCCAUUCCAGCCCAUACUUACUAAGGCCUUGGUCCUGCAAACACUUACAUACAUGCCUAAUUUUAAUCCUCCCUCGUCAACAUGUUUGUUUCAGUAGUUCUUCCUCCUUAUUCUGGGGGGUCUUAGGAGAUUUCUCUUUUGGGACUUGAUACUGCAGCCAUUUACAUGUAUGAGUAACUUUAUUAACCUGAGUUACUCACAUGGGUAACUGGUUACAGUAAUGGGCCCUUAACUGAAUGACUGGCAAUGACCUAAAUUGACAUUCUUGAUAAGAAGGUGGCUAUUAGGCGAAUAAUUAUCCUACAUCUCCCACUAAAGCUACAGGACAAUGCUGGGUGAUGAACAAAUGGAUAUAAAUUGGCUAUAAAUAAAUUCAGGCUGGGAAUUAGAAGGUUUCUAGCC
rnacentral:lncRNA from 1 species